rnacentral:rRNA from 1 species
GUGGGGAAUCUUGCGCAAUGGGCGAAAGCCUGACGCAGCCAUGCCGCGUGGAUGAUGAAGGUCUUAGGAUUGUAAAAUCCUUUCACCGGUGAAGAUAAUGACUGUAGCCGGAGAAGAAGCCCCGGCUAACUUCGUGCCAGCAGCCGCGGUAAUACGAAGGGGGCUAGCGUUGCUCGGAUUUACUGGGCGUACAGGGCGCGUAGGCGGACAUUUAAGUCAGGGGUGAUAUCACGGGGCUCAACCUCGGAACUGCCUUUGAUACUGGGUGUCUUGAGUAUGAGAGAGGUGUGUGGAACUCCGAGUGUAGAGGUGAAAUUCGUAGAUAUUCGGAAGAACACCAGUGGCGAAGGCGACACACUGGCUCAUUACUGACGCUGAGGCGCGAAAGCGUGGGGAGCAAACAGGAUUAGAUACCCGUGUAGUCC